rnacentral:rRNA from 1 species
GUGCCAGCCGCCGCGGUAAUACGGAGGGUGCAAGCGUUGUCCGGAAUCACUGGGCGUAAAGGGUGCGCAGGCGGGGCAGCAAGUCGGAGGUGAAAGCCCAUGGCUCAACCAUGGAAGUGCCUUCGAAACUGUUGCUCUUGAGUCCCGGAGAGGCUGACGGAAGUCGUGGUGUAGCGGUGAAAUGCGUAGAUAUCACGAGGAACACCAGAGGCGAAAGCGGACAGCCGGACGGGUACUGACGCUCAGGCACGAAAGCGUGGGGAGCAAAGAGGAUUAGAAACCCCGGUAGUCC